UGCUACUUAUUGCGGUUGCUGUCGUUCUGAUUUCUGUGGGUUUCAACAUUGAGUGACACAGUUUCGAAGACCCAGUUUGAAGUUGCGGGAGAUUAUAGAAUUUACUUAUGAGUUAAGUUACUUUCAUAGAGUUCCCUCCCUCUUAUUGCUUAACAUUU